CACGCCGUAAACGGUGGGUACUAGGUGUGGGGUCCAUUUCACGGAUUCUGUGCCGUAGCUAACGCAUUAAGUACCCCGCCUGGGGAGUACGGCCGCAAGGCUAAAACUCAAAGGAAUUGACGGGGGCCCGCACAAGCGGCGGAGCAUGUGGAUUAAUUCGAUGCAACGCGAAGAACCUUACCUGGGUUUGACAUACACCAGACGUAUGUAGAGAUACAUAUUCCCUUGUGGUUGGUGUACAGGUGG
rnacentral:rRNA from 1 species